GACGAACGCUGGCGGCGUGCUUAACACAUGCAAGUCGUACGGUAAGGCCCUUUCGGGGGUACACGAGUGGCGAACGGGUGAGUAACACGUGAGUAACCUGCCCACAACUUUGGGAUAACGCUAGGAAACUGGUGCUAAUACUGGAUAUGUGCUCCUGCUGCAUGGUGGGGGUUGGAAAGCUCCGGCGGUUGUGGAUGGACUCGCGGCCUAUCAGCUUGUUGGUGGGGUAGUGGCCUACCAAGGCGGCGACGGGUAGCCGGCCUGAGAGGGUGACCGGCCACAUUGGGACUGAGAUACGGCCCAGACUCCUACGGGAGGCAGCAGUGGGGAAUCUUGCACAAUGGGCGCAAGCCUGAUGCAGCAACGCCGCGUGCGGGAUGACGGCCUUCGGGUUGUAAACCGCUUUCAGCAGGGACGAAGCUUUUUGUGACGGUACCUGCAGAAGAAGCACCGGCUAACUACGUG
rnacentral:rRNA from 1 species